CAAAAAGCAACCUUGCAGGAAUGGAGGAAUCUGGCCAGAGCUGUGCCCCUGCUUGCCACAGGAGCUGCGCGGGAGGAGAAGAAUGUGGGCCAAAAGGAAUGGAGGAAUCUGGCCAGAGCUGUGCCCCUGCUUGCCACAGGAGCUGCGCGGGAGGAGAAGAAUGUGGGCCAAAAGGUAAGAGGAGCUCCUUUGGGUUCUGGGCUUGAAGCAAAGCUGAGAAGCCAUGCCCGGGAGGAGGUGUGGGUAGCUACAGGCCACCUUGCUAUCUCCCCAAGAGAUGAGGUGUGUGGGCUAGGCACCGGGCAGGAGUGCUGGCCAGAAGCAAGCAUCUCUGUGGAGGAAGGCAAAGGGCGGAGGAGGUUCAAGGGUAGCUACCGGGCAUGGCCUUGCUCAGCAGGGGAGGAAAAGCCUGAAGGGCACGAGAAGGGGACAGAGAAGGGCAGGCAGUAGGCGUGAAGCUGUGAGCAGAGUAGAGAGCAACUUGGCAGAGCAGCAAGCAGAGUAGGCAAGUGCUGAGGUUUGGCGUGAGUAGCAGCAAAAGCCCAUAGCAUCAAGAAGCAGGAAGUGAGGAGAAGGUAAGUGAAGGCAGGCAAGGUAAUGGGAGGCAAGGCAAGGGGAAAGGGGAGGGUAAGGGAGAAAGAGGGAUGGGGAGGGAGGGAUGGGUGAAGAGCAGAGCGGAGGGAAGGGCUGAGGGGAGGGCUGAAGCAAACCAAUGAUGAAAAAAGAAAAGAAAAAAUAAGAACAAAAAAUAUGAAAAAAGAGAAAAAAAAAGAAAAAUAAGAAAAAGAGAAAAAAUGAAAAGAAAAAAAAUGAAAAAAAAAAAAAAAGAGAAAAGAAAAAAAAUGAAAAAAAAAAAAGAAAAAAAAAAAAACAAAAAAGAGAAAAAGAAAAAGAAAAAAAGAAAAAAAAGAGAAAAGAAAAAAAAAAACAAAAAAAAGAAAAAAGAGAAAAGAUAAAAAAAGAAAAAAAGAUAAAGAAAAAGAAAAGAAAAAAAGAAAAUAGAAAUAAAAAAGAGACAGAAAAAUAUGAAAAAAGAAAAAAGAAAAAAAGAAAAGAAAAAAAAAUAGAUGAAAAAGAAAAAACAAAAGGAAAAAGGUAAUGACAAGAAGAAGGUAAAGAGAAAAGAAGAAAAAG
rnacentral:lncRNA from 7 species